rnacentral:lncRNA from 1 species
GUAAGACUGAAUGUGCGGUCCGAUGGGAUGAACAGUCCCCACUGUGCAUCUCAUGAACACGGACACCACCCAUGCCACACCCUGUGUUCUUCUUGGCUUGUGCCUAGGAGGGCUAGAGCCACAGCCUGCAUCAUCCCCCUGACAUACCUGGGACACCUACAGCUGACCUCUAUGACUCUACUCUGCUGGCCUUUCUCUUGCCAACCCUGAAUUCUCUGAGGCCUGCGUUCUCUCCCCAGUGACCCACCCACUUCCUCUUGGGAGACCAGCCGAGAACAGUGAGGCUUGAAGAACAUUUUAAUCCCAGCCCCAAAGAGAAAAUGACUACAAGCUCUGGAAUGCAGAGCCUGCUGCUUCCUGCAGGGCCUUCUGAAUGAAACACACGUAACCCACAGAGGCAGUGAGACAAGAGGCUACGGAGAGAUGCCACCCGGACUCCAAGCAGGCCGAUGAGCACAGCAAGCAAGCUCUUGACUUGGGCCUAAGCCCCAGUGCUCUGUUAGCCACCCUUCUCGCUCAGCUUCGAGGAACCAAACCCAGACACCAAGCACAUACAGAUUACUGUUGCUCCCUGUUCCCAGCACCUGAGUGGGUGGGGAAGAGGAGAAGACAUCCCCCACAUACCAUCCUCAAAGAGCACUGCAGAUCCCCCUCUCUGUUACCCCCAGAGCAGGUCACCAUGCUGCAACUCAGCUAGCUCACACCAUUUCAAGCAAAACACCAACGUGCUUCGACUGUCUCCGGGAAAAGUGGAGAUACACACUGGUCUUGAUGGUUCAGCUCCGUGACCUUGUUAGGUGCGUGCCCCAUCUGCAUAAGCACAGAAAGUCCCCUGGGGCCUCCUCUUACGGGCAUCUCCAUCCCUUUGAGUAACCACACGUACAGAUCUCUCUUGUGGUCAGUCAGUUAGCUUUGCCUGGCUUUGAACGCUACUCUCACGGGAUUGUGAGUAGUACGUGUAUGUGUUCCCGUGCCUGACUCCUGCUGCUGCCUACCUCAGACCUGCCUCUGGGCUUUCCAUGACCUGAGUGAGGAUCCUGCCUCCGCAUGGGACUUUGCCUCCCGUUCACCUUGACUUCCUUCUAGGACUGCAGCCACAACAUCCCCAGGUCCCUGCCUGUGCCUGAGUUCCUGUCGCAUAUCCUUGGCACGAAUCUUAAGGCCCCUGUCCUCACUCAGGAGGCCUUCCCAGUCUCCUCUCUCUGUGGAUUCCUCCAGGAGAAGAAUUAGACUCCCCAUGCUUCAAAGGUGUCACUGGGACAGCCCUCCUG